UUUAAUAUUGGCACUGUCCGUGUUUUAAACUGCACAAAUAGCGAACAGCUGUUCCUCAAGACUGCUAUGCGCCGAAGUUUUCUCUAUCUCCAAAUUAUAAUAAAAGGGUUGGUUCAUUCUGCAAGCAUUCUGAGACAUCAGCUUGCAUAAUCGAUGCUUGCUAGAGAUUAUGCGACAGCUGCCAUGCCGUAAUCAACUAAGUCAUUAUUCAUUUUUUUUAAAUUUUCUCUACUACUUCUCUCACAAUUCUGUGUAAAUAUUUUCGUGUGAAUAAACUUCUUUCAGUGCAAA
rnacentral:lncRNA from 1 species